GACGAACGCUGGCGGCGUGCUUAACACAUGCAAGUCGAACGGAAAGGCCCUGCUUUUGUGGGGUGCUCGAGUGGCGAACGGGUGAGUAACACGUGAGUAACCUGCCCUUGACUUUGGGAUAACUUCAGGAAACUGGGGCUAAUACCGGAUAGGAGCUCCUGCUGCAUGUUGGGGGUUGGAAAGUUUCGGCGGUUGGGGAUGGACUCGCGGCUUAUCAGCUUGUUGGUGGGGUAGUGGCUUACCAAGGCUUUGACGGGUAGCCGGCCUGAGAGGGUGACCGGCCACAUGGGGACUGAGAGACGGCCCAGACUCCUACGGGAGGCAGCAGUGGGGAAUAUUGCACAAUGGGCGGAAGCCUGAUGCAGCAACGCCGCGUGCGGGAUGACGGCCUUCGGGUUGUAAACCGCUUUCGCCUGUGACGAAGCGUGAGUGACGGUAAUGGGUAAAGAAGCACCGGCUAACUACGUG
rnacentral:rRNA from 1 species